UACGUAGGGCGCAAGCGUUGUCCGGAAUUAUUGGGCGUAAAGAGCUCGUAGGCGGCUUGUCGCGUCUGUUGUGAAAGCCCGGGGCUUAACCCCGGGUCUGCAGUGGAUACGGGCAGGCUAGAGGCAGGUAGGGGAGACGGAAUUCCCGGUGUAGCGGUGAAAUGCGCAGAUAUCGGGAGGAACACCGGUGGCGAAGGCGGUUCUCUGGGCCUGUACUGACGCUGAGGAGCGAAAGCGUGGGGAGCGAACAGG
rnacentral:rRNA from 1 species